rnacentral:rRNA from 1 species
GAUGAACGCUGGCGGCGUGCCUAAUACAUGCAAGUCGAGCGAACAGACGAGGAGCUUGCUCCUCUGACGUUAGCGGCGGACGGGUGAGUAACACGUGGAUAACCUACCUAUAAGACUGGGAUAACUUCGGGAAACCGGAGCUAAUACCGGAUAAUAUAUUGAACCGCAUGGUUCAAUAGUGAAAGACGGUUUUGAUGUCACUUAUAGAUGGAUCCGCGCCGCAUUAGCUAGUUGGUAAGGUAACGGCUUACCAAGGCAACGAUGCGUAGCCGACCUGAGAGGAUGAUCGGCCACACUGGAACUGAGACACGGUCCAGACUCCUACGGGAGGCAGCAGUAGGGAAUCUUCCGCAAAGGGCGAAAGCCUGACGGAGCAACGCCGCGUGAGUGAUGAAGGUCUUCGGAUCGUAAAACUCUGUUAUUAGGGAAGAACAAAUGUGUAAGUAACUAUGCACGUCUUGACGGUACCUAAUCAGAAAGCCACGGCUAACUACGUG